AAAUCCCGGGGGGUGCAACAGGGAGGAAUCCCCCCUAGUUAGGCCGAAUAAAUGGGGUUCAUAAAAGUCAAGAUAAGCCCGAGGUUUUUAAACAAAAGUUGGAAGAAUUGGUCGGGCAAGAGAACACCUCUCUGGAUAUGUAAUUUGGAAUUUCCCUUUUAAGAGAAAAGGCUAAAUUGCACUAAAGGGCCGAUAAGACCUUAUAAAACUUUACAAAAAUUUUAUUUUAGAAAAUUUAUAAAUAAAGAUAAAAUUUAAUUAUUUGUUAGGCUGGGGAGGCACAAAUAAAAUUUAUUUUAACUGUUUGAUAUUUAUACAAUUAUAAAUGGAUCCUUUUUAAGAUUAAUAAAUUAAGUUACUUUAGGGAUAACAGCGUAAUUUCUUUUGAGAGUUCUUAUCGAAAAAGAGGAUUGCGACCUCGAUGUUGAAUUAAAUAUUCUAUAUAGUGAAGAGGCUAUAUAAGAAGGUCUGUUCGACCUUUAAAAUUUUACAUGA
rnacentral:rRNA from 1 species